rnacentral:lncRNA from 10 species
GCACAGCUCCAGAGAGCUUCGAGGGCCAAGUCUGCAGUUUGGUUGCUUCCUCCUGAAAUCAACGUGGGAGUCUUAAAAGCACGGGGAGAAUAGUCUACUCAGCAGGGAGCAUUUCGGGAUGAUGCAGCCAUUCAUAGGAAGCAUGGAGAGGCUUGAACUGGACCAUGUGGUGCUGGAGAGGCCAUUGCACUGACUGGCAAGAGAAGACCUGCUUCACCGUGGUCCACACAGUAAUUUCCCUGGCUUCACUCAAGGCUAACUGUCCUCCAGCAAAACACCCCUCUUUUCCUCUCACAGAUGAAGCAGAUGAGUAAAACUGAGGCUCCGUAAGGUACUCAUCCGAAAUCAGGCAGAAGAGUUCUGGUGGCUGGAAGUCUGAAAUCAAGUUGUUGGCAGUGCCAGCUCCUUCUGAAGCCUCUAGGGCUUCUCUGAAAGAGGUCAAGAAAGCCCCUGCCUCUCGCCUCUGCAGAUAGCCAUCCAGUCCCAGAGGAAGCGGCUAUUUAUGCAGACUCACUCUCCAUUGCUGGCAGUGAAGAAGCAAAGCUGCCAUGAAGCAUGGCCAUGUUGGAGAAGCCCAUGUGCAAGGACUGCCAGCAGCAUCUAGAAACCAAGCAAGAAACUGAAGUCCUUCGAUUUACAGCCACAAGGAAAUCAAUUUGGUCAAUAACCUGAGAAAGUUUGGAAGUGGG